GAUGAAGAACGCAGCGAAAUGCGAUACUUGGUGUGAAUUGCAGAAUCCCGUGAACCAUCGAGUCUUUGAACGCAAGUUGCGCCCGAAGCCAUCAGGUUGAGGGCACGUCUGCCUGGGCGUCACAUAUCGUUGCCCAAUGCCUAUUGCAGUGCAAUAGGAAUUUCUAGGGCGAAUGAUGGCUUCCCGUGAGCGUUGUUGCCUCGCGGUUGGUUGAAAAUCGAGUCCUUGGUAGGGUGUGCCAUGGUAGAUGGUGGUCGAGUUAGAACGAUACCGAUCAUGUGCAUGCUCCCCAAAAUAUGGCCUCUAUGACCCACACGCGUCUUUUGACGCUCAUGACGAGACCUCAGGUCAGGCGGGGCUACCCGCUGAAUUUAAGCAUAUCAAUAAGCGGAGA
rnacentral:misc_RNA from 1 species